rnacentral:rRNA from 1 species
AUGGGUAAAAAAGAGAAAACCCCCUCAACAAUUUUCCCCUGUGCUGCCCAAGACCUUCCACUGUCCGGCGACCACAGACAGCCGCCACCGCACUCCCGCACUUGCCUGGCCGGCCGUGCGCGCCCCUGCUCGGCCGCCCGCGCGCGCCCCUGCGCCGCCGCGCUCACCUCCUGCCCGGUCGCCCGCGCUCCUGGCCUCUGCCCGGCCGCGCGCCCCCUCCAUGCUAGCCGCGCCACCGCCGCCCUGCUCUGCCCGCGCCCGCCGCUCUACAAGCCGCGCCACCGCCGCACUGCUCCACACAUGCCCCAUCUCCCUAGAUCGAUCUCGAGCUCGGGAGGACGGCAGCCGUUGCGGGAAUACGAGGGGGGUGCUGGAGCUCCGCCGCUGCUGCUUGCUCCGGUGCGAGUUCGGGAGGACGGCGGCCGUGGCGGGAAUACGAGGACGGUGCUGGAGCUCCGCUGUUGCUGCUUGCUCCGGUGCGAGCUCGGGAGGACGACGACCGUGGCGGGAAUACGACGGCGGCCGUGCGGGGGAAAGAGAGUGGAGGGAGGAAGGAGACGGGAAGAAGGGGAGGGAGCUGAUUGCUUUUUUCUAUUUGAUUUAGGGGUGUCUGUGCAAAAUAUAUGGACUAGUUUGUAA